GGUGGCUCAGAGGUAGAGUACUUGCCUUGCAUGCAUGAGGCCCUGGGUUCUAUUCCUCAGCACCA
rnacentral:tRNA from 1 species